rnacentral:rRNA from 1 species
UGCUUCUCCGGAUGAGUUGCGAACGGGUGAGUAACGCGUAGGUAACCUGCCUGGUAGCGGGGGAUAACUAUUGGAAACGAUAGCUAAUACCGCAUAAGAGUAGAUGUUGCAUGACAUUUGCUUAAAAGGUGCAAUUGCAUCACUACCAGAUGGACCUGCGUUGUAUUAGCUAGUUGGUGGGGUAACGGCUCACCAAGGCGACGAUACAUAGCCGACCUGAGAGGGUGAUCGGCCACACUGGGACUGAGACACGGCCCAGACUCCUACGGGAGGCAGCAGUAGGGAAUCUUCGGCAAUGGACGGAAGUCUGACCGAGCAACGCCGCGUGAGUGAAGAAGGUUUUCGGAUCGUAAAGCUCUGUUGUAAGAGAAGAACGAGUGUGAGAGUGGAAAGUUCACACUGUGACGGUAUCUUACCAGAAAGGGACGGCUAACUACGUGCCAGCAGCCGCGGUAAUACGUAGGUCCCGAGCGUUGUCCGGAUUUAUUGGGCGUAAAGCGAGCGCAGGCGGUUAGAUAAGUCUGAAGUUAAAGGCUGUGGCUUAACCAUAGUACGCUUUGGAAACUGUUUAACUUGAGUGCAAGAGGGGAGAGUGGAAUUCCAUGUGUAGCGGUGAAAUGCGUAGAUAUAUGGAGGAACACCGGUGGCGAAAG